rnacentral:rRNA from 1 species
CCUACGGGAGGCAGCAGUGGGGAAUUUUGCGCAAUGGGCGAAAGCCUGACGCAGCAACGCCGCGUGCGGGAUGAAGGCCUUCGGGUUGUAAACCGCUUUCAGCAGGGAUGAAAUUGACAGUACCUGCAGAAGAAGCCCCGGCUAACUACGUGCCAGCAGCCGCGGUAAUACGUAGGGGGCAAGCGUUAUCCGAAUUCAUUGGGCGUAAAGAGCGCGUAGGCGGAUUGUUAAGCGCGAUGUGAAAACUGGGGGCUCAACCCGCAGCCUGCAUCGCGAACUGGCAGUCUUGAGUCUGGUAGAGGAGUGUGGAAUUCCCAGUGUAGCGGUGAAAUGCGCAGAUAUUGGGAGGAACACCGGUGGCGAAGGCGGCACUCUGGGCCACGACUGACGCUGAGGCGCGAAAGCUAGGGGAGCGAACAGGAUUAGAUACCCUGGUAGUCCUGGCCGUAAACGAUGGGCACUAGGUGUGGGGGGUAUAACUCCCUCCGUGCCGGCAGCUACGACAUAAGUCGCCCGCCGUCGGGAGGUACGGCCGCGAGACUAAACUACAANAGAGUAGACGCGUGAGACGUCGCCGACGACGACGACGAGGGAGAGG